rnacentral:rRNA from 1 species
AACGAACGCUGGCGGCAUGCCUAACACAUGCAAGUCGAACGAGACCUUCUGGUCUCGUGGCGCACGGGUGCGUAACGCGUGGGAACCUGCCCUUAGGUUCGGAAUAACUCCCCGCAAGUGGUGCUAAUACCGGAUAAUGUCUUCGGACCAAAGAUUUAUCGCCUUUGGAUGAGCCCGCGUUGGAUUAGCUAGUUGGUAGGGUAACAGCCUACCAAGGCGACGAUCCAUAGCUGGUCUGAGAGAAUGAUCAGCAACACUGGGACUGAGAAACGGCCCAGAAUCCUACGGGAGGCAGCAGAGGGGGAUAGAGGACAAUGGGCGGAAGGAUGAAGGAGCAAUGAUGCGUGAGUGAUGAAGGCAUUAGAGUUGUAAAGCUAGUUUAACCGGGAAGAUAAUGACAGUACCGAGAGAAUAAGCUACGGCUAACUCCGUG